AUGAUAGGUCCUGGGAGAGGGAGUGACAACAUAUCAGCCAUACUCCAGAGUAGACCCCAUACUCAGGAGUAGUUAGUUGGCUAACACAAAUCAGGCUCCAUAGUUUGUAGUGGCUUUUUUCUUCUUUUUUUUGUUUGUUUGUUUUUUGUUUUUGUUUUCUUUUUUAAGAGAGAGAGGGGGAAAAUAUGAAGUUGGGUGGCGGGAAGGAUAUGGGAGGAGUCUGGGGAUAGAAAAGAAUAUGAUAAUUAGCUGGGCAUGGUACCCACCUCUUUAAUCCCAGCUCCCUGAAGACAGGCAAGUGGAUGUCUGAGUUCAAGGCUGGCCAAUCUACACAGUGUUCCAGGAAAGCUGGAGCUUCCACGUGAGACCUUGUCUCAAAAAAGAUAAUAUUUUAGGAGUCUCUUGGACAAUCCUGACCUACGGCUCAAAAGAGGGUUUCUCAUGUUGAGUGUUGGGGUUUAUGUUAGAUGAUCCAAGAAACUCCAAAAACAUAGACUGUUGUUAAAGGCACUUCAGAUGCAGGAUCCAAAGACCCCUGAGUUGGAUCUAAACUGAAAGCCAUUUUCCUGAGGGCUAGCUUUCAUGGUAUCAGAGGUGCCUCGUAAGCUUCCAAAGGUCGGAAACAACCAAUAUUGCUACCCAGCUAUGUUGCCUAUGAACCACAGUGAAGUCCAGCAUGGUACACAACCCUAAAUGUGCAGUAGUGGCAUACAAACCUUAGCACCAGCUAAUAUCUCUCUAAUUGGACUUUAGACCUGUUCAAUAAUAGGGAAAUGAUGCCUGGUAUUGAAAACCUAGGCACACUACACAAGGCUAGUGAAUUCAUGGAUCUUGGAGGAGAACCUCUACUAAACCAGCACAAUCCCUAACUACAUUCUAAAGAUUUUUCUAUAUAACCACAGAGAAGUGUAGUCCUCACUGCUUAUCCAAGAAAAUUCUCUUUGCCACAGAGACCAACACAGAAAACCACAAUCAAUCACAUGUAAAGCUUACUGGUAAAUCUGUAGCACAGCUGGACCUUAGAAGGGUUAGUGUGGGAAAGGGGAUGGAAAGACUGUCUCCUAGGAAGCUGCACUCAUAGGUUUACCAACAUGACUGCCUAAACAUUAGCUGAAUUAGGAGGCUACUAAUGAAAGCUCUGAAGUCCUCAGCCCUACACACAGAACUUCAGGCAACUAAGGAAUGCUGAGAGCAGACAAGUAGUCUUCCCUGGGGAAGAGUUACCAGUUGGUUAUCCAGUAUCAAACGGCCAGUCCUGAAAAUACAAGGAAUAUCAAACAGAUUGAGCAAGUUGUGCUAUAUAUUUAGGAAUAUCUAUGUGUAUGUAACAACAGUGAAAAAGUGCCAUGAAUUAAAAGCAAAAAAAAGGGUAUAUGAGGGGGUUUGGAGGUAGAAAAAUGAAAGGAAAAAAUGGUGUUUUAUAUAUAUACAUACAUACAUAUUGGAGAUUUCUCAGUAAAUUCCAAAAAAUUGCUAGUUUAAAGGGCAUACUUAAUUCCAAGCAAAAGUUUGUGGCAGUUGUAAUAAGGUGAUAAGUGUUCACUUUGGAAACCAGUUCUGCCCUUCACAGCAUGGUCCUGUGAUUGGAACUUCUGGAUCACAUGUGUAUACCCUCAUACCUGACUUAUUUGUUAUUUUCAAGGAAAGAUUUAUAAGGUUGAUUAAAAAAUGGUCAAAAUAUUAGUCAAAAAUUCAGAAAGAGUGUGUUGAUAUUCUAAAAAGAGCAACAUUAAUCCUUUUUUUUGUUGUUGUUUCUCUUCAGAUUAAAGCUAAAAAUUAUGACAAGGUUGAAAAGGUAAGUUCUCUUAACUAUAUUUUGAAGUUUAAGAGUUUCUAUAUGACCAAAUGGUAAAUAAAUAUGGUACGAGUUGGAGUGGGGAAGAGUAAGGAACAAGGUCAAUAAGCAAAUUAUGAAAAUGCCUCAAUGAAAUUUAUUUCAUAUGCCAAUUUAAACUAAGGAAAAUAUUACAAAAGAAAAAUAAUUAUAUUUAUUUACUUAUGGCUCUGGGGAAAUGAAAGAAAAUGACUAUACUUGUGAAAUGCAUGGGCAUGAUUUUGAUUGUCUAAACUGAAAAGAGGAUUAUUUUUUGCCUUUAAAAAAUUUUAAAGAAUUUUUAAUUUUGCCUGUGUGUGUGUGUGUGUGUGUGUAUGCAUGCACCACAUGCAUGCCUGGUACCCACAAAAGUAGACAUCUGAACUGCUAGAACUAGUGUCAUAGAUGGUCAUGGGCUGCCGUAUAGAUGUUGGGAAUCAAAUCAAGGUCCUCAAAUCAAGGUCCUCAGGCAGUGUGCUCUUAACCACAGUGUCAUCUCUCCAUCCCUCUUAUUUGCCUUUUAGUUAUAAGAAAAUUAAUUCCUAAAAAGACUGACUUUGUUUUUUAAUAUGCUGUUUCAUUCUUACAAAUAUGAAGUGUAUUUACCCGGACGCUGAUAUUAUUUUCUUAUAUUUAAAGCUAUUUCAAAGAUGCCUUAUGAAGGUUUUGCACAUUGAUUUAUGGAAGUGUUAUCUUUCAUACGUCAGAGAAACCAAGGGUAAACUGCCCAGCUACAAGUAAGUGAAAUCAUGGUCUUAAGAAUGCAUAGUGAAUACUUUCAAAAGUAAAUUGCAAAAUCUCUAAUGUGCAUUUAAAUAUAAGUAAUUAAUUAGAAACCACACCCAUUAAUGCGGAAGUGUCUUUCUUUCUCAGUUUUCAUUCUCUCUUGUAGUUUCUAGCAUCCCUCUGAAAUUGAUACUUUUAUUAAAUGUUGUGAUAAUAUUAUUAUUUGUUAGAAAUUUAAUGGCCUAAAAGUGAUGCGAUUGUCUAGAUGAUCUUUUUAUACAAAAUUCUCUAUAUUACUUUGUCCUUAUGUCUGAAUGUGCACACGUGUGUAAGUCAUAGGUAUAAUUGCAGGACUUGGAUCUCUUUUGCCACCAGGAAGGUCUAAGGACUCAGGUCAUUCGCAUAUACCUACUGAGAUAUCGCCCCAAGAUAAUAUUUCUGAUAACUGCUUUAUUUCUAUGUAUUCUUCCAGAAGGCUAACACUGUAAAGAAUAAAAACUAUGCAUCCAAAGUU
rnacentral:lncRNA from 1 species